UACGGAGGGUGCAAGCGUUUAAUCGGAAUUACUGGGCGUAAAGCGCACGCAGGUGGCUGAGUCAGUCGAUUGUGAAAGCCCUGGGCUUAACCUGGGGAAUUGCAGUCGAUACUACUCAGCUAGAGUAUGGGGAGAGGGUAGUGGAAUUCCCGGUGUAGCGGUGAAAUGCGUAGAUAUCGGGAGGAACAUCAGUGGCGAAGGCGGCUACCUGGCCCAAUACUGACACUCAGGUGCGACAGCGUGGGGAGCAAACAGG
rnacentral:rRNA from 1 species